rnacentral:rRNA from 1 species
UACGGGGGGAGCAAGCGUUGUUCGGAUUUACUGGGCGUAAAGCGCGUGUAGGCGGCUUGGCAAGUCAGUUGUGAAAGCCCGGGGCCCAACCCCGGAACUGCAUCUGAAACUGCCUGGCUAGAGUCCCGGAGAGGAAGGCAGAAUUCCCGGUGUAGGGGUGAAAUCCGUAGAUAUCGGGAGGAAUACCAGCGGCGAAGGCGGCCUUCUGGACGGUGACUGACGCUGAGACGCGAAAGCGUGGGGAGCAAACAGG